GUGAGCCGUGUGCGGGAGAACCGCAUGCACGGUUCGACGGGCGGGAGCUGGAAACGGAGCCACAAACCUGGCCAU
rnacentral:ncRNA from 1 species